rnacentral:tRNA from 1 species
UGUAGCUCAGUUAGUACAGUGCUUGCCUAGAAUGCAAAGGACCUGGGUUCAAUCCCCAGCA